rnacentral:lncRNA from 12 species
CCCCCCCCCCCCCCCCCCCCCCCCCCCCCCCCCCCCCCCCCCCCCCCCCCCCCCCCCCCCCCCCCCCCCCCCCCCCCCCCCCCCCCCCCCCAGAGGAGCCCAGUGCGCCUGCGCCAGACGCUCGGCACCGUAGGCCACGCCCACCGAGAAAAGCCACACCCACACCCGUGACUGCAUUUGGUCACGCCCAUCAAGGUGAGUCACGCCCCACAGCCCCGCCUUUAUUAUGACGUCAUGACACGAGCAACCCACCAAACCAGACAACGCCUCUCUCUGGCCCCGCCCACCAGUGAUUGGCACGCGCUGAUCCCUCCUCCCGCGCUUUUCCCUGACGUCAUCUCGAGGUGCCCGCUCUUUCCGCCAUGGCCGCCGCAGCAGCAGGGGGAUUCAGGAAACCGCCAGCAAGAAGGAAAGUGGAUUCAAGGGACCUGCCACCGUAAUUAG